UUGAACGCUGGCGGCAUGCUUUACACAUGCAAGUCGAACGGCAGCACGGGAGCUUGCUCCUGGCGGCGAGUGGCGAACGGGUGAGUAAUGCAUCGGAACGUACCCAGUUGUGGGGGAUAGCUCGCGAAAGCCGGAUCUAAUACCGCAUACGCCCUGAGAGGGAAAGCGGGGGACUCUUUCGGGAGCCUCGCGAUUGGAGCGGCUGAUGUCGGAUUAGCUAGUAGGUGGGGUAAAGGCUCUACCUAGGCGACGAUCCGUAGCUGGUCUGAGAGGAUGAUCAGCCACGCUGGGACUGAGACACGGCCCAGACUCCUACGGGAGGCAGCAGUGGGGAAUUUUGGACAAUGGGGGCAACCCUGAUCCAGCCAUGCCGCGUGAGUGAAGAAGGCCUUCGGGUUGUAAAGCUCUUUCAGUUGGGAAGAAACGGCGUGCUCUAACAUAGCGCGCAACUGACGGUACCAACAGAAGAAGCACCGGCUAACUACGUGCCAGCAGCCGCGGUAAUACGUAGGGUGCGAGCGUUAAUCGGAAUUACUGGGCGUAAAGCGUGCGCAGGCGGUUGUGUAAGACAGGUGUGAAAUCCCCGGGCUUAACCUGGGAACUGCGCUUGUGACUGCACGGCUAGAGUACGGCAGAGGGGGGUGGAAUUUCACGUGUAGCAGUGAAAUGCGUAGAGAUGUGGAGGAACACCGAUGGCGAAGGCAGCCCCCUGGGCCGAUACUGACGCUCAUGCACGAAAGCGUGGGGAGCAAACAGGAUUAGAUACCCUGGUAGUCCACGCCCUAAACGAUGUCGACUAGUCGUUCGGAGAGGUAACUUUCUGAGUGACGCAGCUAACGCGUGAAGUCGACCGCCUGGGGAGUACGGUCGCAAGAUUAAAACUCAAAGGAAUUGACGGGGACCCGCACAAGCGGUGGAUGAUGUGGAUUAAUUCGAUGCAACGCGAAAAACCUUACCUACCCUUGACAUGUCUGGAACCCCUGAGAGAUCGGGGGGUGCCUUCGGGAGCCAGAACACAGGUGCUGCAUGGCUGUCGUCAGCUCGUGUCGUGAGAUGUUGGGUUAAGUCCCGCAACGAGCGCAACCCUUAUCGGUUAAUUGCCAUCAUUAAGUUGGGCACUUUAGCGAGACUGCCGGUGACAAACCGGAGGAAGGUGGGGAUGACGUCAAGUCCUCAUGGCCCUUAUGGGUAGGGCUUCACACGUCAUACAAUGGUCGGUACAGAGGGCUGCCAACCCGCGAGGGGGAGCCAAUCCCAGAAAGCCGAUCGUAGUCCGGAUUGUAGUCUGCAACUCGACUACAUGAAGUCGGAAUCGCUAGUAAUCGCGGAUCAGCAUGUCGCGGUGAAUACGUUCCCGGGCCUUGUACACACCGCCCGUCAC
rnacentral:rRNA from 1 species